UAGGGGGUGGCUUAGUGGUUAGCACAUUUUCUUCCUACUUCUGUGGUUGGGGGUUCAAUUCCCACCUCCCCAU